rnacentral:rRNA from 1 species
GAUGAACGCUGGCGGCGUGCCUAAUACAUGCAAGUCGAGCGAACAGACGAGGAGCUUGCUCCUCUGACGUUAGCGGCGGACGGGUGAGUAACACGUGGAUAACCUACCUAUAAGACUGGGAUAACUUCGGGAAACCGGAGCUAAUACCGGAUAAUAUAUUGAACCGCAUGGUUCAAUAGUGAAAGACGGUUUUGCUGUCACUUAUAGAUGGAUCCGCGCCGCAUUAGCUAGUUGGUAAGGUAACGGCUUACCAAGGCAACGAUGCGUAGCCGACCUGAGAGGGUGAUCGGCCACACUGGAACUGAGACACGGUCCAUACUCCUACGGGAGGCAGCAGUAGGGAAUCUUCCGCAGUGGGCGAAAGCCUGACGGAGCAACGCCGCGUGAGUGAUGAAGGUCUUCGGAUCGUAAAACUCUGUUAUUAGGGAAGAACAAAUGUGUAAGUAACUAUGCACGUCUUGACGGUACCUAAUCAGAAAGCCACGGCUAACUACGU